CGUAGGUGGCAAGCGUUGUCCGGAUUUAUUGGGUUUAAAGGGUGCGUAGGCGGCUUUGUAAGUCAGUGGUGAAAUAUGGCAGCUCAACUGUCAGGGUGCCAUUGAUACUGCAGAGCUUGAGUACAGAUGAGGUAGGCGGAAUUGACGGUGUAGCGGUGAAAUGCUUAGAUAUCGUCAAGAACACCGAUAGCGAAGGCAGCUUACUAGGCUGUAACUGACGCUGAGGCACGAAAGUGUGGGGAUCAAACAGGAUUAGAUACCCUGGUAGUCCACACUGUAAACGUUGAUGACUCGCCGUUGGCGAUACACGGCCAGCGGCAGAGAGAAAUCGUUAAGUCAUCCACCUGGGGAGUACGCCGGCAACGGUG
rnacentral:rRNA from 1 species